UCGCACAAAUACGCUGGCGGCGUGCUUAACACAUGCAAGUCGAACGAUGGAUAGCCCUUCGGGGUGGAUUAGUGGUCGAACGGGUGAUUAACACGUGGGCAAUCUGCCCUGCACUCUGGGACAAGCCCUGGAAACGGGGUCUAAUACCGGAUAUAACCGUCCAUCGCAUGGUGGAUGGUGUAAAACUCCGGCGAGUGCAGGAUGAGCCCGCGAGCCUAUCAGCUAGUUGGUGAGGUAGUGGCUCACCAAGGCGACAACGGGUAGCCGGCCUGAGAGGGCGACCGGCCACACUGGGACUGAGACACGGCCCAAACUCCUACGGGAGGCAGCAGUGGGGAAUAUUGCACAAUGGGCGAAAGCCUGAUGCAGCGACGCCGCGUGAGGGAUGACGGCCUUCGGGUUGUAAACCUCUUUCAGCGAGGGAAGAAGCGAAAGUGACGGUACCUAGCAGAAGAAGCGCCGGCUAACUUACGUGCCAGCAGCCGCGGUGGAUA
rnacentral:rRNA from 1 species